AACACUGUUAACCUGCGGUACCUGCGGAAGGAUCAUAACUGGUUAAACUUUAUAAACACCAGAGUUUCAAACUCUGUGUUUGCAAACAAAAAACACCCUUCAAAACAGCUAUUCAGUGUCUGAAUUAACUAGUUUAAUAUAAAAACAACUUUUAACAAUGGAUCU
rnacentral:misc_RNA from 1 species